rnacentral:rRNA from 1 species
CGCGUAGGCGGUCUUUUAAGUCUUGUGUGAAAUCCCUCGGCUCAACUGAGGAACUGCACGGGAUACUGGAAGACUUGAGUUCGGGAGAGGGAAGCGGAAUUCCGGGUGUAGCGGUGAAAUGCGUAGAUAUCCGGAGGAACACCGGUGGCGAAGGCGGCUUCCUGGACCGAUUACUGACGCUGAGGCGCGAAAGCUAGGGGAGCAAAACGG